rnacentral:rRNA from 1 species
UACGGAGGGUGCGAGCGUUGUCCGGAUUUAUUGGGUUUAAAGGGUGCGUAGGUGGCUGAUUAAGUCAGUGGUGAAAUACAGCCGCUCAACGGUUGAGGUGCCAUUGAUACUGAUCAGCUUGAAAGAAUUGGAGGCUGCCGGAAUGGAUGGUGUAGCGGUGAAAUGCAUAGAUAUCAUCCAGAACACCGAUUGCGAAGGCAGGUGGCCACGAUUAUUUGACACUGAGGCACGAAAGCAUGGGGAGCAAACAGG